rnacentral:lncRNA from 1 species
GACAACCCAAAUUACGCAACACAGCUAUAAUUAGUAUUGCUUACUUUUAAUAAUCAAUCAAAGUAAUACACACGCAUCAGGCAGAAAAAUACAACUCAGACAACUACACUGAAAGUUAAACAUACCAUAUAACAUAUUAAAAACAGAUCCGUAGCAUCUCAGGUAUCUAACAAGAUCCGAUCCAAUCCAGGAUCGAUCCGACCGCAUGACAUUAUUAGACGCAGAUAAAAGAUCACCACCCAUGGAUCCAGAACUCAACCACCAAGAUCCAACAAACAUAAAAAACUUUAGUUACUAAAAGGAGAUGGAUCGAUCCAGUCGGGCUCGCCAGGAAUUGGAUCAGACGGGGGACAGAAGCUGGAGCAAGCUAGGUUUGGGCUCGUCUCCCUUAGUCAUGCCGACGACGAUGAUGAGCGGGAUGAAGCCCCAGUGCGCCACCACCUUCGCCGUCUUCAUCGUCCACGUGCUCCACUCCUUCGCGAGCCGCACCGCCACCGCCGCGGUGGACUGCUCGUCCUCGGCCGCGGACGAGCCCCUCUUCCCACCCUUGCCCUUUGGCUUCGGCUUCAGCGACGGCCGCGACGCCAUGGCGACUCCUCUUGAUUCUUCGAUUCGCUGGACGAAAACCCUAGAGCUGUGCCCUUUGGGGAUGUGUUGAUCUCUCGGUCGUUUGAUCUGGUGCGUUGUUUCCGGUUAAUAUUGGCUGCUUAGUGGGCCAGUCGUCUCGUGUUAGUAUCUCUCUGGGAGACCUCUCAUGGGUCCUCAAAUGCUAUUGGGCUAGCUUUAUCUUUGAAUUGGGCCAAACUUUCCAACUAACCAGGGGCGGGGCAUUGUGGACAUGAUAGAUGAGUGAGUCUUCUAAAAAAAAAGAUACUCACACCGAUCUAGAUUAAUUGUCGCAAAAGUUGUAUUAGAGGUGCGGCAAUUAAUUUGGAUAGUGAUGCUAUGAACGACUAGCCCACGAGCAUUCCUUCGUUGGGCUUUCCAACGAACACUCUUAAAGCAUGUUCGUGUGCCUUUCUAGCGCACACACGAAACGCAUGGCGGUGCUAUUGCAUUUCAAGUUUUUUUUUUCUGCAGGUUUUUUGGUUCUUUUAGCUUUCCGUUUCUUGUUUGGAUCUUUAGAUUUUGCUUUGUUUUUCCAAGUUUUAUUGUUUAAAAUUUUUAUGAUGUGAUUUUCAUGUGAAAUAUAGAAGCAGAGUUGUGCUCACGGUGAAGCACAGUUAUACUUCAAGGCGAAGUACAACUGUGCUUUCAUGUGAAGUACUCCCUCCAUGUUAAUUUUUUUGUUUUAGAUUGUCUAGAUAUGAAUGCGUCUAGUCACAUUUUAGUAUUUAGAUAUAUUUAUUUUUAGACAAACCGAUAACAAGAAUUUUGGGACGAGGGAUUACAAAUCAUGCUUUUGUUCUUCGUCCCAAAAAUGAAGCAUGCGGUGUGUUUUUCUGUAAAGUACAAUUGUGUUUUCCUUUGAAAUUAAAAAAACAUAUUUAUGUUUCUGUGUGAAAUGUAGUUGGGUUUCUUCCAAAAAUGAAAAUCAUAGUUGGGCUUUCCAAAGUGAAGCGCAAGUUGUGCUUUCCAAAGUGAAACAUAGGUUGUGCUCCCCAAAAAAGUGAAAGACAAGUUGUGCUUUCAGUUUCCUUUUUUCUGGGUUUUGGACUUUUAGUUUCCUGUCUUUUUAGUCUAUGUUUUUUUGACAAAAACUUCAUCUUUUUUUUUCUCUCUUAGUUUUCAUUUUUUUUGAAAAAGUUCAUCCAAAAUUAUUAACAUUGGAUUUAGUUUCAAUGAUCUCAUCCGAGAAACACAACGAUAAAAUUCAUGAUUUCAAUGCAUUAUUCAAUAGAUAAAAAGUUUUAAAAAAAGUAAAUCUAUACCUAAUAAUAAAGCGGCUAUUGUUUCCGUCGGAAAACCCACCGUGGCAUUUUUAUAAGAAAGCCCCUGUAAUUUUUGUUAUUCAACCCACGCUCAAUCAUUUAUCUGCAACGCAAAAGAAAAAAACGAUUCGCUGCAAAAAUUAUACCCGUGCGCAUCGCCUCCUCCCGUCGACCCUAGGCCACCCUGGCCUGUGCCCAGGCCCCCGCCACACCACUCGCUGCUGCGGCCGACCUCAACCGCCACCGCUGUCGAUCUCAACCCACCCGCCUCCGUGGCCGUACCUCUUCCCGCUCACUGGCCCCGUUGCGGCGCUCGAGCGCAUCGCGUCGACCCUGGUCCACCCUGGCCUGUGCCCAGGCCGCUGCGACACCACUCGCCGUCGCGGACGACCUCAACCACCACUGCUGUCGAUCUUAACCCACCCGCCUCCGCGGCCGUACCUCUGCCCGCUUGCUGCCCCCGUUUCGGCGCUCGAGCACAACUUCUGGAUCAAAUCAAUGCCAUAGCUACAGUGACCGGGGAUGAUGCGUCUGCUCGAUGCAGAACGGCGGCGGCGCGCGGAUAAGGCGUGACAGAGCGAAGUACUUGCAGGUGGAGGCGGGCCUCCAUGGCUCACACGGGAAACUCCGAAGUUAUGGCGCGGCAACGGCGACUCCUUAUGGCCAGAUAGAGGCGCCUAACCCUUGCUCCCCUCAUCGUAUCCCCUCCUCCAGCAGGAACUCAUCAUCUGAUGAGAUCCCCUCCCCAUGCCUCCAACCGUGUGCCAAGCGUGUGGUAUUUUUUCUCCCGUUGCAACGCACGGGCCCUUUUGCUAGUCUAAGAAAAAACACAAAACUCUUAGGUUCUUGGCAUAGCACACAGGGUGCACCACAUGGGCCAAGGUCCAAUAGGCUUGCCCCGUUCUCUAGUGAUAGCUCGGUCGUUGGUCGCCCACUCGCCCACCCGCUCUCCAUUAGUUUUUUUACUACCGCUGUUGCUCCAUGAUGUUAAUAAAAAACCAAUCAGUUUUUUAUUUAUUUUUAUAAAUUCGUUGAAUUCAUAGAAAAAGAAUAUUUAUGAUUUUUUCUGAAAGUUCAUGAAUUAUAAUAAAAAAUAUGUGAUUAUGUUUUCCAAAUUUAAGUGCAUUUGGAUAAUAUUCGUAAGAUUAAAACAUAAUCAAAAAAUUUCAUAUAUUAAAAAAAUUAAAAAAUGUUUUCGAGUAUAAAAAUCAUCCAUGGAUUUUAUAAAAUAAUCACAAACUUAUUUGUUUUGCAAAUUUUAAAAAUAGUCAUGGAUUUAAAAUAUUCACAAUUCACCAAGUUUACAUUAUUUAUGAUAUUAAAAAUAAAACACGCAAAAGAAAAAAAAUCAUCAAAAGUGGAGUAAAACCGUGGAAAAAACCACAAACGAGGAAAAAUAACCUGCUGACGUUAGGUUUUUGUCAGUUCCAGCAAACGCAUGAGCUCUUGUGAGAUCAAAUGCACAAACUUUAAAGUAGAGAAAAGUAUGAGGUCACAUAUUUUUGAUCGUUCGCUCUAACGAACGUCACGACCAACGUCUCACUAAACUUCAACUCGCCUUAUCCAGUCCACCCUCCCACAUCACUCGCUUACUUCUCCCCGUUGCCUGUCCAGCCGCGCACACUACCUCUCACUGCUACGACCUUCUUCUUCAAGAGCUUGCCGACGGGCCAUUUCGGCGACGCACAGGAGGCUGCGGCGGGGGAGAUGCACGUGGAGCAGAGCACGACGCUCCCAAACUCUUGUGCUUGGGAUGAUCCGACGACGCACGAGGAGCUGCAAAGUGUGAGUGUGGAGGGGGAGGUGAUCGUGCAUGGGCUUAGAGGUGGGGAGGUGAACAAUGCGUCACCUUAGCCAUUGUUAUUACCACCUCCCCCGUUGUUGUUUCCGUUGUCGCUGCCAUAUUCUCCGUUGUUACGAUCAUGGCAUCUAUCAUAUAAAGGUUGUAGGUCGAGGUCGCUGUCUACUUGCUCGAGGGCAUGGUAGCUACUGAUGGGUUGUCUGAGGACUCACCGAUCUCCUGUUCCAUAUAUUUAACUUCAUUGGGGACACUCUCAAAAACUUUGCUUAGGUUCUCAAUGUUGGUCAAAAAACCAACUUUUCCCAGGGACUCCGAGAUUUGAUUGCACCCCGAGACCGGGCUUUUUGAAAUCACGAGCCUUUGAAUUCGAUUUAACAUCUCGUUCAGAAGGAGUUUCUAACUUUCUUAUUGGGCCCUAUUUGACACCGGGACGAGAGGAAGUUGCUCGAAGGUCCGAACUGACAUGGAUCUUGGUUUCUCACACUCCACCAUGGCUUGUUCUAACACUUGACCCGUCGGAGCUGGCCUUGGUUCCCGAUCUAAGAUCGGGUCCGACGAAGGAUUCCCACGUUUGUUUUGAGCCCGCUCUGACACGAGGUUUGAGGCAAGCGGCUCGUGCUGAUUCUUGACUUGGUGUGACAACCGACCUAUGAAUACCAACUCUCCGUGGGAUUCUGCAGUAUAAUCCAUGCUGUCGAAUCUAACGAUCUAACCUGGAGCGAAGGAUUUGACCUGGCCAAGGUGACCGAUUGAGUUGGUGAUACGUCUCCAACGUAUCAAUAAUUUAUGAAGUAUUCAUGCCAUAUUUACCCAAGUUAACAAUACUUCUGUAUGGUUUUGAUGCACUUUAUAUGAUUUAAAUGUAAUUAACCUGGAGUAAUGCUAUUUUGAGCAGAAUUACUGUGGUGUUGUUUUGUAUAGAAAAUAAUAUUUCUCGGAAUCGAUCGGAACUUUUUGAUGAUUUUUUCUGGAAGGAAAGGGACCCAGGAAGCUUCGAGGGAAUACAAGAAGACUCACAUGGGCUCUAGAAGGUAACAGGGCACGCCCACGGGGUGGCCGCGCCCUAAUGCUCCGUGGCCCUCUCGUGGCACCUGCUGGCUUGAUUCCAACGUUGAAAAUACUAUAUAUUGAGAACCUCCCGAAAGUUAACCUAAAACUUCGAAUUCGCCGCUGCAAGCCUGUGUUUCGAAGUGAUAUAAUCUGGAGCUCUGCUUCAGCAUCCUGCCAGAGGGGGGAAUCAUCACCGUAGGCCAUCUCCAUCAUCCCGACAGUCUCCAUGAUGAGGAGGGAGUAGUUCACCAUCGGGACUGAGGGCAUGUACUAGUAGCUAUGUGUUUGAUCUCUCUCUCUCUCUCUCUCUCUCUCGCCCCCCUCUCCCGUGUUCUUGAGAUGGCACGAUCUUGAUGUAUCACGAGCUUUGUUAAUAUAGUUGAAUCAUAUGGUCUUCUUCCCUUGCAAUCUUGAUGUGAUGAAUUGAGUCUUUCCUUUUGAGGUUUUGUUAUGUUGGAUUGGAUUUGAGAACACUUGAUAUAUGUCUUGCAUGUGGAUACCUGUGGUGACAAUGGGGUAUUCUAUUGAGUCACUUGAUGUAUGUUAUGGUCAUCAACUUGGGGUGAUCUAUGCACAUAGGUUGAUGCACAUUUUCAUCCUACUUUCUCCGAUAGAUAUCUUGGGGGCACUCUUUGAAGUUCUUUGUGUUGGAUUGAAUAUGAUUAUGUAAUGCCCAUGAUGCGGUACCAUCCUAAUCUUGGCUCGAGGGCCUCGAUAGGGAUAGAAGCGCAUCUCGUCGUUUUGCAAGAAUAGAUAUAAUUACAAGUACAUGUAAAGAGGAUAUGUAUAUAUGAAAUUGGCUUACACUCGCUAGAAGCUAAAUCAUUACCAUCUCAAAUACAAUCAUCCAUAGCAAUCAUCAGACAUAAAAGCAGCGUCUGACUAAGGACGAAAUCAAACGAUAAAAGUGACAUCCAUCUUGCUAUCCAGGGCCGCCGACCUGGAACCUCCUAUGAUCGUUGAAGAAGAAGAAGAAAUCCAAAUAAAAAAAAAUCAUCACUCUCACGUCAAAGCAUCACAUUACCUGUACCUGCAACUGUUGUUGUAGUAAUCUGUGAGCCACGGAGACUUAGAAAUCUCAUUACCCAAGGGUAUCAAUAUUAGCAAAGCUUAAUGGGUGAGGAAUGGUUAAGUGACGAGGUUGCAACAACACUAAACAUCUGAUAUCUGGCUAACUUACGAGUACAAUAAUAAGAAGAGUGGUAUAUGCAUAAACGGACGUGAACUAGUAAUGAUAAACAAGUGAUCCUGAACACCUACUUACGAGUCAUUCAUAACCCCACCAUGUUCUCUUCUUGGAUCAAACCUCACAAGAAGAGACGGUGACAGUUACACACGCUGUUGGUGCAUUUUACUUUAGUUUACUUCAAGUUUUAAAUAACUGGGUAUUAUAAAGUUUCCAAGUUGCCAGAUAACCGCGAACAUGGCUUUCAAAAGGAUUUCACCCUGCAGGGGUGCUCCAACUCAUCCAUCACAAACUAGCCACAAGCUGUUGUUGGAAAACCGCAACCUCGAGAUAGCCCGAAGUAUCCUCGGAAUCCCGAUGUACAAGAUAUUUCAUUAACGAUAAAACAAAUCUAGCAAGGCCCCCCGACGCGUUGACAAUCAUAAUAGGAUCCACAUGUAUCUCGUUCUCAAGACACGACCAGAUUAUCCAAACUUCCGGUAGGCCAAUCGCAGAGUUGCUCCUCGCAGCCACCAGCGGUUGAUAGGUUCACACCAACACUCAUGAGGAGCACUGGCCCGUUUUGUUGAUUAAUUCUCCACGGGUGCCGGGAUGUAACAACCCAGAUGUUUUCUUUCCUUAUUUGUAUCCCUUUCCAAUUGUGGACACCUUGUUGAACCCAUGUAUGGAAGUUAUGAGGAGGUUAUCAUUUCAUGUGUUGUCAUUUCAUGUGCAUCUCAUGCAUCAUAUCAUCUCCAUCUUGUGUUUGUCUUCUUCUUGUCUACCUUGUUGUGGUGAACUCAUGUGGAUUGUGUGGUGUUGUGGAGUGUGGUGUGGGUGCAACAAUGACCUCAACAUCAAGUUGCACCAUAGCCCAAACCCCCCCCUCUUUUAUAUUUUCCUUGAGGCAUAAUAAAGUUGCUGUUUUGGGGUUUUAAAAAUGUUCCACUUCUUUGGAAAUUCUUUCAAAUAUUUAUGGAUGCAAAACCUCACUGAUUUGAAAUUAUUCUCCUUGUUGUUUUAAUUUAAAACAGGGGCUGAUUUAUAACAAAAACAAUUAAUUUGCUUUGCUCUAAAAUGCCACCUCUAUUUUUAUAAAUAGGAGCAGCAUUUUAGAGAAUUAUAAUUAUUUUCCUUUUCUUAUUUUAUUCUGUUUUUAGCUUCUCUCUUACUGUAUUCAAAGUCUGAUUUGAAUUAUUUGAAAGAGAGAACCUGCUUUGUUUUAAAGAGAGGUGAGGUAGUUGGAUGGGCUCCUGGCCCAUGGCUUUCUCCCUGGCGCUAGAGCCCACAUUCCUUUCCUUCUUCCUCCUCCUCACACUGUGUCCUCGUUGUUGCUUUCCGUCAAAGAGCUGAGAGAGAGGGAGGUCGCGCCAACGCCGUCAAGCCGUCCCAUUCGCCCAUAUUUAGAGCCUCCCCCUCAGUGUGCGUGCUAGGGUUCCCUCUCCACCGCCGCCAACCUCUCUUCUUCCUUCUUCCCUCCUCUGCACGUAAGGUUUCAGAGAGAGAUUCAGAAAGAGAGAGAGAGAGAGAGAGAGAGAGAGAGAGAGGUUCAGAGAGAGCGUCGUCACCUCGCCAUCGUCCCUCCCCUCGUCACCGGUGCUUCCCCGUCAAGUCCAAGCGUGCAGGGAGGAUGCUGGAUCCUCCCUCAAUCCAUUCCCGGCGCUAGGAGGGUGGUUCCCCUCCUCUGUCGGCCCCUCCUCUCCGUCUUCGUUAGGGAUGGAGCAGAGCAGAGCCAUCGCCGUCGCCCUGCCUCUUCUUCCUUCUUCUCGACGUCAAGCGCGCCUCCGAGCAGCCGCAGGGUGAGCGCCGCUCCUGUCUCUUCUUUCCCGCGCGUAGUAUAUCCCCUCUGCGUGCCGUAGUUCGCCGGAUCGAGCUCUGUUCGGGCCAGAGGAGAGGCCGCAUCGAGCCGCCGCUACGGGCUCCCUCCCGUAGAGCUAGGCACGGGAAUGGAACCCCCUAGGGUUCCCGCAUCCCCGCCGGUCCCUAGGAGCAUCCGCCGUUGCUGCAUCAUCACCGGAGCCGAGCUGCUCCUUCCGUGAUCUGGAGGUAGAAGACGAUGUGUAGUUGCCGUGUGUUGUAGCUUAGCUGGUUCAGAACCCCCCUUGUAGCCUGGCUGGUUCCAGCGUCGUGCCCCGACCAGAGAGGUCGUGGGUUCGAUUCCCACCGGCGCACUUUUUUAUUUCUUGUUUUUCCUACCUGUUGCGAGUAGCACUGCGGAUAGCUUAGCUCGUUAGCCUCCCCUUUGUGGUCAGACUCGAGGCUGUAGCGCACUCGUGCGGUGCCGUGUGUGCAAGCAGGGGUGCAGGGUUUGAAUCUCCCCCUGGCCCCUUUUAUCUUUUAUGUUUUUCCAAGUGUUGCAGCUUAUGUUUUCAUGCCCUGUGUAGAGCCUAAUAUGAGGAGGAGCUUUGAUCUUUUGUUGGUGAUUCCUUGAUGGAGUGGUAGUGGGUGAACCCCUCUACAGCAUGAGACUUUCAUUUUGUUCUUAGGUUCUUUCAUGCACCUAUUGUACCGUGUCAAAGUGGGCACUUGUCUGAAUUUGUCAGAUUUGUGAAAACCCUGAGAUUUCACCAAGUCUGGGAAUCUGGAGUUAUUUUCUUCCGUGUUGUGUUGCUAAUAUUUGCUCCUGUGUUGGGAGUUAGCCCAAGCAACAAACUAGAGUUUGUUUGCUGUUAUGUUUGUCUAGGUCCCUGUCAAAUUUCAUGCUCAGAAACCUCGUGUAGAUAUCAUUUUGGAGGCUGCCAAAAUGCUUCAGAGCAUAAGCAGCUGGUGAAAAUCUGUAAUUUUCACUAAGUCCCAAUCUGUGAUAUUUUGUCCAAGUUAGAGGCUGUUUAUCUACUGAUGGGUGGUUCCUUUGCCUUAUCUUUUUUGUUAGAGGUUGUAGUGAAGUUGGAUGGCUUCACGUGCAUGUCUUUUUUGAUUUAUUUAGAGGGNGUGUUUAUUUGCUGUUAUAUUAUCUUGGGUAGCAUCGGGAAUGGAGAGCGAGUACAUGGAUUCUGGAGAGUUCGUGCAUGAAGAACAAGAGCAGUUCCACGCUGAAGAAAUCAGAGACAAGAUGACCGUGACCUUGACACCGUUUUAGCCUUGUUAUGCUUAGAAUCACGUUUCCAUCGUUACAUGCUCGCUGCCUACCACAUGAUAUAAAUGAUACCUGUCUUUGCCAUGAACCCCAAACACUUUCCUGUCCUAGCAAAUAUUGUUUGGCUAGGUAGGAUUGCUCAACCUCUAAUGGAUAGCUUUGCUAGUUGGAGGUGCCAGCUGGUCCAUGUGAUAACAUGGGCAUUUUGAUAUCAUUAUGUUUUAAACUGCUAUUUAAUUAAUGCACCUAUAUACUUGGUAAAUAACGGAAGGCCUAGCCUUUUGCCGGGUGAUUUGUUCCGUUGUUGACGCCUUAGUUUCGGUUACCGGUGUUUUAUUCCAUAACUGAUCGCUCCUAACACGUUCGGGGUUGUUAUGGGGACCCCCUUGAUAAAUCGUGUAGUGUUAAGGCUUGUCUGGCAGGACCCAACUUUGGUUUUAAUCUGCUAAUAACUUAAUAACAAAAUGCAUAGGGAAUAGCUACCCCCAGGAAUUAAUCAACAACCCAGGCCAGUGCUCCUCAUGAGUAUUGGUCCAAACCAGAGCACUGCGCGGGGCCAACCCAGGGCAACUUGGGUGAUCUCUAUCGCGCACCGUGCACGUAGCUUAUCCGACGUGUCCUGAGACGGAGAUACGCGACUCUUAUCGGGGUCGUCGACACGUCGGGCGGUCUUGCUGGAUUUGCCUUACCUUAGCGAUAUAUCUUGCGCAUUGGGAUUCCGGUGAAGCUUUGGGUCUCCUCAAAGUUGAGGUUUUCCUCUUAGGAAUCAGACGAGAUCAUGAGUUUUGUGAUAGAGGAUUACUAUGCGGCCUGUGGUAAUUUGUAAUGGACUAGUUGGAGCACCCCUGCAGGGUUUAAUCUUUCGGAAAGUCGUGCCUACGGUUAUGUGACAAAUUAUGGAUAUUUUGUUAACAUCCGGUUCUAGACAACUUAAAGUAAUUCUAAUAAAACUACCAACUGAGUGCGUAACCGUGACUGUCUCUUUCGGAGACCCUUCUCUGAUCGAGAACACGGUUGGGUAAGUAGGUGUUCAGGAUCACUUAGUGAUCAAUCUAGUGUUCGACCGACUUGCGUAGACCACCAUAUGUUUACUUUGAUCAUCGUAAGGUAGCCACCAUAUAUGCUUAGGUUGCUGCAAACCCAUACACUUAACCUUCCUCACCCAUUAACUCGGCUAGAUUCGAUUCCAAGGUCGUUCGAUUGCUGAGUCCUCGUGGCUCACGGUUUACUACAAACACCCACAGGUACAGGUACGCCUGAUGCAGGAGAUCCUGAUGAUAGCCAGCUGAAGUGGGAGUUCGAUGAGGACUCUGGCAGACUGUACGUGACUUAUCCGGAGGACUAGAGGCCGUGGUCGUGAUCGUGGGGCCAGCAUGCAGGAUUUCAUAGCUUUACCUGUUUUCAUGUUGUCCAUAGCUGGACUAAACUAUGCUCUCAAUAAUUUGUGUCUGUAAGCUAUAUGCUAUAUUCUUAUCAGAUGACAAGUGUAUGCCCUACUUGUCAGUCUUUCAGUUAUGUAAUGUUAUGAUUAUCUCGCUUGCGAAACGUUUAGAUGCACCCCUUCCC